rnacentral:rRNA from 1 species
GAUGAACGCUGGCGGCGUGCCUAAUACAUGCAAGUCGAGCGAACAGAUGAGGAGCUUGCUCCUCUGACGUUAGCGGCGGACGGGUGAGUAACACGUGGAUAACCUACCUAUAAGACUGUGAUAACUUCGGGAAACCGGAGCUAAUACCGGAUAAUAUAUUGAACCGCAUGGUUCAAUAGUGAAAGACGGUUUUGCUGUCACUUAUAGAUGGUUCCGCGCCGCAUUAGCUAGUUGGUAAGGUAACGGCUUACCAAGGCAACGAUGCGUAGCCGACCUGAGAGGGUGAUCGGCCACACUGGAACUGAGACACGGUCCAGACUCCUACGGGAGGCAGCAGUAGGGAAUCUUCCGCAAUGGGCGAAAGCCUGACGGAGCAACGCCGCGUGAGUGAUGAAGGUCUUCGGAUCGUAAAACUCUGUUAUUAGGGAAGAACAAAUGUGUAAGUAACUAUGCACGUCUUGACGGUACCUAAUCAGAAAGCCACGGCUAACUACGUG